UGCGUAGGCGGAAAAUUAAGUCAGUGGUGAAAUCCUGCAGCUCAACUGUAGAACUGUCAUUGAUACUGAUUUUCUUGAAUACAGUUGAGGUAGGCGGAAUAUGUAAUGUAGCGGUGAAAUGCUUAGAUAUUACAUAGAACACCGAUUGCGAAGGCAGCUUACUAAACUGUGAUUGACGCUGAGGCACGAAAGCGUGGGGAGCGAACAGGAUUAGAUACCCAAUCAUCUGCU
rnacentral:rRNA from 1 species